GGAGAGGUGUCCGAGCGGUCGAAGGAGCACGCCUGGAAAGUGUGUAGACGGCUAAACCCCGUCUCGAGGGUUCGAAUCCCUCUCUCUCCGCCA
rnacentral:tRNA from 1 species